GCGCUUAACACAUGCAAGUCGCACGAGAAAGUGGGCAACCAUGAGUACAGUGGCGAACGGGUGAGUAACACGUGGGUAAUCUACCUCUGAGUGAGGAAUAACCCUGGGAAACCGGGGCUAAUACCGCAUAAGCUCGAGAGAGGAAAGCAGCAAUGCGCUGAGAGAGGAGCCCGCGGCCGAUUAGCUAGUUGGGAGGGUAAAAGCCUACCAAGGCAGAGAUCGGUAACCGGCCUGAGAGGGCACACGGCCACACUGGCACUGAAACACGGGCCAG
rnacentral:rRNA from 1 species